UAGAACUUUUGAAAAACAUGGUGAUUGUCAGGCAAGAGAACAGAGCAGCUCUCCAGGACUUUUAUCAUGAAGAUUUUCCAAUUUCGUGGACUUUAAAUUGUCACGGUUCUCUGGAUUUCCUCGGUGUUUGUUGGAUUCUGAUGGCGUUGAACAUCUACACAAAGUACAACAUGUUACUUAAGAUUACAGAGAAUAGUUAGAUACAAGGUGGAUGCUAGGGAGAAAUCUUUCUGUAGGGGGUAGCUGUUAUCAUGUGAAAGGGAAUAAGACUCUAUGUAAGUGGAUGCUGGAGAAGGAGCCAUACCUUCUGCUGGGCGAUGAGUCAGUACAAGACAACUAAACUUACCUGACAUAAAACAAGCUAGUAAAUUGGAAGAUGAUUCAAGAGCAUGAAACUGACCUGACUUGACUUUUUUUUUUGCUUCGUUCAAUUUGUUGGUUUAAGAUCAGUGUUUCCAGUGAAGGCAACUAGGGAGUGUGAUCAAAAUAUAAUGAGAGCAGUUUGAAUGAACUAGCCAGAUUCCAAGACGAUGGAUGAAUAUUAUUUGUAGGUCAAGAUCAUAGAAAGGAAAACACAAUGGAAAGGAUGGUAAGUGAUCCUGAUGCAUCAGCUGAGAUGGAAUCAAAAGUGACAGCUGAGAGAUUGGAAAGGUAAAUACACAUUUAGGUUUACUCACAUAGUUUAAAGAACAAACACAGAGCUAUCAAUCAAAGCACCAAGGUAUCAUCUGCACAUUUUCAUUUGUACAGGGAUUUAGAAACUAAGAAAAGCUUUUGUGAGGCUAAAAUCAUGUUGUUGUUUUUAACCUGUGAUUAGUGAGGCCAGCUACAAUGACUCCCUUAGUGUGCUUCUCUGAUGUGCAUACUUUUAUAGAAAUAUAUUAAACUUCUGUUAAAAGUAAGGUUAAAAGUACUGCCUUGAUUUUGGAACUCUGUACUAAUGACUUAGUCCAUCUCAUGCUGCCGUUCAACUGAAUUCAUCAGACUGGAUAAUUUUGAAAUAAAAUAA